UGCCACUUCAGAUGAUGCAAAACUUACAGUCUUUGGAGGGAUUAAUAAAUGCCUUAUCAACAUUGUGUCUGUGGUGCAUCUUUCCUAGAUUCUGCAGCAGACUGGCCUUGUUGAUCAAUCGGCAUUGGAUCUGUGCACAGCCAUGGCAUUUCUGUUCCUGGGCAGAAGUUAUUUUCAAGUUUCUAAUAAUAAAGGUACAAAUUUUAUUUCAUUUUUGUGUAAGAAUGAAUAUUUCAGAAGAUAGGUAUGACACAGUGAAGGAGAAAUCAGCUGUGCAAAUUAACUUUACCUGAACUAUUGCAUUUAAAUCUUUACUUACUUCAUGUUCCUGCUACUAGGCAGUCCCAGGUCUUUC
rnacentral:lncRNA from 1 species